UACGAAGGGGGCUAGCGUUGUUCGGAAUUACUGGGCGUAAAGCGCGCGCAGGCGGCCUUUCAAGUCAGGGGUGAAAGCCCGGAGCUCAACUCCGGAAUUGCCCUUGAAACUGUCAGGCUCGAGUACGGGAGAGGUGAGUGGAAUUCCCAGUGUAGAGGUGAAAUUCGUAGAUAUUGGGAAGAACACCGGUGGCGAAGGCGGCUCACUGGCCCGUUUCUGACGCUCAGGCGCGACAGCGUGGGGAUCAAACAGG
rnacentral:rRNA from 1 species